GUUCAUUUUUUAAAAUUUUGAGGACUUAUCUCCUAAAAUCCUCCUAGUGUCGCCCCCCUUUCCCCCAUUUUCCCACUUUUCUUUGUUUUCCACUUUUGUUGCUAUAACCUCCUCUUUUGUUGAAUUCUCUCUGUUUUUCCCUCCUUUCUUUAUCUUCUUUCUUUUUACUCAUUUGUUUCCAUAAUUUCACGUUAACACCCUCUUGAUUUCAUCUUUUGUCGUUCCUAUCUACUGUGUUGCCGCCGUCCAGACUUUGAUCCUUCCUAGUGCCGUAGCUAACCCUCUGGUCUCAUUACUGGUGAGGAUCGUGAGGCGCAUACCCCUCUUGCUAAUUAAGUGCCUUGGAAACGUCUUCUCCCUAGGGUAAGUAGUUGAAUGCCUAGUCAAGGGGCUGGCAGGUGUUAAUUUUUGCUUUGGCCGAAUGCUCUAAGGGAGCAAGGGCCGAAUGCCUUAGGCUGAUUUUGUAUUAUGGAUGCUAAUCGGUUAAGGUUAUUGUCAUGGGCAGAGCGCGGAUUGUUGUUGUAGUGCCAACACCUCGAAAACAAUUAGGUGUAUGUUUUAACCCUACUUGAUUUGUGAGAGACGAAGUUAAUCAAAUGUUGCGGUGUUUUAAUUAAACUCGUUCGGUUGUGACUGAAUUUUCUUUUUCUGGUGGUGGCUGAAAGUAAGUAUUCCCUUAAUUGUUAAA